rnacentral:rRNA from 1 species
UACGUAGGGGGCAAGCGUUGUCCGGAUUUAUUGGGCGUAAAGAGCGUGUAGGCGGUUUGGUAGGUCCGCUGUGAAAACUCGAGGCUCAACCUCGAGACGCCGGUGGAAACCAUCAGGCUAGAGUCCGGAAGAGGAGAGUGGAAUUCCUGGUGUAGCGGUGGAAUGCGCAGAUAUCAGGAGGAACACCGGUGGCGAAGGCGGUUCUCUGGGCAUGUCCUGACGCUGAGGAGCGAAAGUGUGGGGAGCGAACAGG